rnacentral:rRNA from 1 species
UACAGAGGGGGCAAGCGUUGUUCGGAAUUACUGGGCGUAAAGGGCGCGUAGGCGGCCCGCUAAGUCGAACGUGAAAUCCCCGAGCUCAACUCGGGAACUGCGUCCGAUACUGGAAGGCUUGAAUCCGGGAGAGGGAUGCGGAAUUCCAGGUGUAGCGGUGAAAUGCGUAGAUAUCUGGAGGAACACCGGUGGCGAAGGCGGCAUCCUGGACCGGCAUUGACGCUGAGGCGCGAAAGCCAGGGGAGCAAACGGG